GGGGGGGGGGGGGGGGGGGCGGGGGGGGUGCGGGGGGGGGGGGGGGGGGGUGGGGGGGUGGGGGUGGGGGUGGGGGGGGGGGGGGGGGUGAGGAAUACGUCGGAAGCUACUUUGGAGUGGGGGAGCACGGAGGGAAACUGACGCUAAUGCAGAAUGCGACGUACGGGUGGAAGCGGUGGCGCGUCGGACCUUGAGCGAUAUAAGGAUCUGCUGUCGGAUUAGCUAGUUGGCGUGGUAACGGCCAACCAAGGCUACGAUGCGUAGAUGGUCGUAGAGGAUGGAGAGCGUGACUGGAACUGAGACACGGUCCAGACGCCUACGGGAGGCAGCAGUGGGGAAUAUUGGACAAUGGGCGUAAGACUGAUCCAGCCAUACCGCGGGGGUGAAGCAGGCCUGCGGGUUGUAAAGCCCUUUUGUUGGGAAAGAAAAGCAGCAGUCUAAUACCCCGCUGUUCUGACGGUACCCAAAGAAUAAGCACCGGCUAACUUCGUG
rnacentral:rRNA from 1 species